rnacentral:rRNA from 1 species
UACGAAGGGGGCUAGCGUUGUUCGGAAUUACUGGGCGUAAAGCGCACGUAGGCGGAUAUUUAAGUCAGGGGUGAAAUCCCGGGGCUCAACCCCGGAACUGCCUUUGAUACUGGGUAUCUAGAGUCCGGAAGAGGUGAGUGGAAUUCCGAGUGUAGAGGUGAAAUUCGUAGAUAUUCGGAAGAACACCAGUGGCGAAGGCGACUCACUGGACACGUAUUGACGCUGAGGUGCGAAAGCGUGGGGAGCAACAGG